AGGGGACAUAGCUAACUAGGGACUCCUAAGCUAAUUCAAAGCAACGUGUGACGUCAUUUCCUGCACACCCACCCACUAUUUCCUGGUGCCAAUAACUUCAGGAGAUCCAUAGAUCGUGUCUACUAUCUACAUGUAUGGGAGAUCCUAGCUGUUAAUAUAGUUAUUGGUGAUAUCUCUGGGACUAUGAAAGGUACAUAUGUACAGAUAAUUGAUAAAAAUUUUAUUUUGCAAAAUGGAUCAUUAAAAUUUUGUACUUUUUCACUCAGUCAUUUCCCUCCCGCCUUUCCCUCACCUCAUCUGACAUUCUUUGAGACUCUGCAUUGUUAACAAAACUAAAAGUAUAAAAUGAGUUACAUAUUAAAAAUUAAAUCACACACAAUUAAAUACCUCAUUGCCGCAACACCAGGACUACAUGCAUCUGAUAGUAUAUCAACUGGUUUCUACAAAAAAGGUACAAUUAGAAUGCUCAUUAUUAAUUCAAGAACAAACCAAUUGAGCCAAUUUAUCAAUUGACCAAAAUGUCUUUUUCUAAAAGACAGAGAUAAAAUACAUACAGGAGGAAGAGAUCUACAUCCCAUUAUAAUAAAAAUAGGACUUAAAUCUCACCAUUAAAAAAAAUUUCAUAGGUGUGCUCGUAGAUCUAAAUACAGAAUUCCAAUCAGGGAAAUCUUUUUCCUUAUCAUUGAAAGGAUUCAUGAUAAGUCCUAAAUUUCUCCCUAAAUUUCCCGAUCUAGCUAGAUCUAGAUCUUGAUCUAUGAUUCCACGUGAUAGCACGAGUUUUGGAAUAUUCGAAAGUAUGUCUAGAUAUACGGAGCUAGGAGCAGACUCAGGAGUCUUCAGAAGAUUUGAAAGUUAGGAAGAGUUCUUCUGAAUCUUCUUCAUCAGUGGAUCAAGAUGAAAGAAAGUUACUUGCUGGCUCUUACUAUCUAUUUAGAAUUUUGUUCAUUACAUCAUUUUCACCUAUUUACUUCUCAACCUGUUCCUAAUGCUCUCAGUUAUUAAUUUCAUCAAACUCCUGAGAUUAUGCGCAAUAUUGAAACAAUGGAUUAAUCACAUUGUGGAGCUUUUCCUUCCUUCUCUGCCAUUUUGUGCCAUUAAUGGAACUGUUCAGAUAUUAUUCCAAUCUUGUAUUGGUAUGAAUCUACAGGAGCUAGUUCAGCCAGUGUUGAUCUGUUUUAAUGUUCAGGAUGCUCGUGUUCGUUAUUAUGCUUGUGAGUCUCUUUACAAUAUUUCUGAAGUUGCCAUAGGAGCUGUUCUUGUGUUCUUUAAUGCGAUGUUUAAUGGACUUUUUAUCUUGUGCAUCUGAUUCCAAUGUGAGAUAUGGAGCCGAACUACUGGACAGAUUAAUGAAAGUAUG